GUCUAUGGCCAUGCCACCCUGAACAAGCCCGAUGACUGAUCUUGGAAGCUAAGCAGGGUCGGGCCUGGUUAGGACUUGGAUGGGAGACCACCUAGGACGACCAGGUGCUGUAGGCA
rnacentral:rRNA from 1 species